UCCCCCCGCAGCCGCAUCCGCUCCGUGUCCUCUCUCAUCAAGGUCGGCUGCCAGGAGCCCGUCAUGGUCCUCCGCGUCAACCGCGACAAGGGCUACAUCGAUCUCUCCUAGCGCCGUGUCUCCGAGGAGGACAUACAGGCAUGCGAAGAGCGCUACACCAAGAGCAAGCUCAUCCGCUCCAUCAUGCGCCACGUCCCCGAGACACUCGACAUCGACCUCGAGGAGCUGUACAUCCACAUCGGCUGGCCUGUCUAUCGCAAGUACGGCCACGCUUUCGAGGCGUUCAAGAUAAUCGUGACGGAUCCAGACUGUUCUUGAUUCCCUGACUCGGCAAGUGAAGGAAGUUGGGCCUGAUGGGCAGGAGGUGACUAAGGUAGUGCCUGCAGUGACACCUGAAGUGAAGGAUGCAUUGGUCAAGAAUAUUAGGAGAAGGAUGACACAGCAGCCACUAAAGAUACGUGCCGACAUCGAGAUGAAGUGUUUCCAAUUCGAUGGAGUUCUUCAUAUUAAGGAAGUCAUGAGGAAAGCUGAAGCUGCAGGAAAUGAUGAUUGUCCUGUGAAAAUCAAGCUAGUUGCCCCUCCGCUCUAUGUCCUUACCACACAGACUCUUGAUAAGGAACAAGGUAUAUCAGUGCUCAACAAUGCAAUUAAGGCUUGCACCGAAGAGAUAGAACGGUACAAGGGGAAACUAACGCUCAAGGAGGCACCAAGAGCUGUGAGUGAACGCAGAUGGCACGCUAUUCGCUGAGCACAUGGCAGAACUACAUUCUGCUAACGAGGAGGUUGAUGGUGAUGAAGGUAGCGAAGAGGAGGAAGAUACAGGAAUGGGAGAAAUGGACGUGGAGAACUCUGGUGUUGGCAUGGCGGAUUGAAGACAUCAUUGAGCGGAUUAAGUUGGAUGGUUUUGUAUCCGAGUGUACUAAUAUAGAUAACUGUAUACUAUGUUAAGCUAUGUCUAAUUAUUGGAACAGCAAGCGACAUCAUCUUCUUUUCUUCAUAUGGCUGAUGCUUGGAUAGUUGUGUUUUCAUCAAUUUGGAGCAGGACAUUCUUUUUGGGCUAUUGAAGAAUGAAUCAUAUGGAUCCAUUGGUGCAGUUUGACUGCAAUUGUUCUACAUGGAGAGGCUCCACUUGCCAGUUCCUCUAUGUUCAUAUUAUACAGUGUACGAGUGCAAUAUUGCCUAAAAUCACCAAGAACUAUGAUCCAAAAUCAUCUUUAUUUUUUCUGGUGGUGUAGAACCUGUGUAAAUUUUUUGAAGUACCAUGUUCCUCCCAACAAAAAGAAGAGGAAUUAUACUGUGUA